GAGGGUAUAGCUCUGUGGUAGAGUGCAUGCCUAGCCUGCAUUAGUCUUGGGUUCAAUCCCCAGUACCUCUA
rnacentral:tRNA from 1 species